CGGUGCGCGGUUCUGUACAUGCGCUGUUGCGUUGAUGCCCAAGUGCGUUUUGGGCACCGCAAAAUAUACAUAUGUAGUAAAUAUUUAUGUAGUACACAUUUCCUGCGCAGUACUGGUAAAUGCAUGAAAUUAAACAAAGAAAUGAAAAUAAACAACCAAAACUAAACGCGGUGUGCUGUAAAAUAAAGUGAGCGCGCGCCCAGUUACCGCGGCCGAUAGUAAGCGGAAAGAGAGCGCAGCGCGUAGAGCUGUAGCUUGUUUGUGUAUUGUUUUCGGUAUAUUAGCAAAAUCAUUGUUUAUUGAUUGCUGUUGAACGCUGUUACUGUUGCUAUAUGCUACAAUCGCUUCGCCAUUGUUUGUGUUAUCAGCAGUUAUUGAGCGCGUUGUCGCGCAAUGCUGGGGGAAAAUGUGACUGUGUGUUUUGUGUGAGAACACCCUUGUAAGCGCCAUUCUUGUGGGUGAUUGUGUGUGUGUGCUCCCGCGCGCGCAACAACAAAAAACGUUGCGAACGCAACAUAACACUAACACAAGGGCGCUAAAAGCUCUUUUGUGCCACCAAAUAGAUAUGGCGCGCGCGUACACAAUCUCAGGUUCACGCAUACAAAUUACAACUGUGUUCAAAAAGAGCGCACUCAGCGACCGCAUCGUAAUUGCCUUUGUUAUGCGCUGACAAAUGCAAAGGCAGCGAAACAAACUGUUUAAAUGACGACGGUGCCUGCUGUACGACUAGCAAAACGUUUUUCAAUUUGUGGC